rnacentral:lncRNA from 1 species
UCACCUUGAAACCCUUCGUCUCUCAGAAACGCUCUCGAGCUCUCCGAAAUGCUAAUCCUCUUCUACACUGUUCAAACACAAUUUCACCAGAAUCCAUGGCUUCUCAGGCCAUGGAUGGUGUAUACUCACCCCUUCCACCAUUAGACCAUGGGUGUUCGAGGUUUUGAAGCAUGACCUCGACGGUUUUCUUUCAGACCUUCAAUAAUCUUCAGUUCAAUGGCUACUCCGGCCUGUUCCGGCGUACCCAAGGCAUUAGAUGCCUUUUCCGACUUUUUCGACUCGAGAUCAUACCUUCUUCCAAAGCCUUUCUCGCUUGUAGAGUUUCUCUGAAAUCCUAAGUUGUUCGAGGUUUUUUCUCUAUUUAAUUUCUUAGAUCUAUGGUAUGUUUGAGUUCUACUGGGCUUCUAGAGUGUUUUCCCCAAAAUUUUCUUUUAAUAUCAUUUGUCUUCAAUUUAGGGUUUCUGGAAAGUUUUCGAAACUUUUUUCUGAAUCUUCUUCUUCUUUUCUUUAUAUGUGUUUGUUUGUAUUAUGCUCGUG